rnacentral:ncRNA from 2 species
CGUUGAUUUUGAACUUCAGGAGUCUGUUUUUUUCAGACCGUGAAAAAGGGAACCCGGUUAGAUUCCGGGGCGGUUCUGCCGCUGUAAAAGCCAGCCCCCCAUCCUGAAGCAUGUUUGCAUU